AUACAUUUUUGAAACUUUAAUGAUACUUAAUGGGAUACCUUUUUUAUUCUUUUCUGGAGAGAAAUGCCAAAUGAUGAGUGAAAAAAGAGGGAAUCCUGAUUUUAUUUCACUGUUACGGUAUACUUUGUUUAAAGAGAUCAGGGAAGCCCACAGUAGUGAAAAUAAAAUACUUUUCUCAUGUUGCCAAUACUUCCCUACAGAAUUGAAGAUGUCACCCUUGGCUUGUAUGUUAAUUUCAGCCUGUCAACCAUGUCUGGGAUUCAGACACCUGCGAGAAUUGAGGCUGGUGCUCACGGCUGGAGCAGCUCUAGAAGAUGAAUAAAAGAAUGGCAGUAAUCCCCGCCAAGGUGAAUGGAAGCCGUCUUUGACCACAUGCAGAUGAUGAGAGACUACAGUGUGAAAUAUCUGUGCUUAAUAAUGAUAACUAGGAGUAUUUGUUGGCAAAUGCAAGCCUCAGGAUGGCAGAAGGGCUGCAAAGUAUAGAGUUGUGGUCCAAAGUGUGCUGCAGUUUUAAACAAAGAAUGGAAACCUAUGUCAUGAUUCUCUUACUUCCCAUUUUACCCACUAAGUAUAAUAUUUGCUAAUCAUCUAAGGGUGACCAAUUGGUUUUCUCCAACUCUUCCAAGCCAUCUGCUGCAGUAAAAUGCACAAAGUGGACCAUGAAAACAGCAGAAGUUUCCAUUUCAAUGUGUAUCCAUCUCCAAUGUCCUUCUCAAGCAUUUUACUUCACAGAAAACUACGUCUAUUAAUACACUAGUAUAUCAUUUAAAGUUUCUGAAUUCUUGAUCUCUUAAUCAUGAUCUGGAUUUAGUUAUUAAUAUAUCAUAACAAAAAUGGAUACCAUAUACUGAGUACUUAUUGUAAAUAUUGGGUCAAAUCCUUACAAAUAUAUUUCUUGUUUAAUUCUAUAUGCAACUCAUGAGACAAGUUCCAGUUUUAUUCCCAUUUUACAUAAGGAACUGAUAGAGUUCUCAGUGAUUUGUUACUUUAACAUUACAUGUUUAACUAUUAUGCUGUACUUCCCCAAAUAAACCAUGCUCUCUGGCUACCCA
rnacentral:lncRNA from 1 species